UGAAAAUGGCGCCGGUGGAUCACUUGGCUCGGAGAUCGAUGAAGAACGUGGCAAAAUGCGAUAUGUGAUGCGAUUCGCAGGCCUAGUGAGUCAUCGAGUUUUUGAACGCAAAUGGCGGUGCAGUUCUGCACCAUGUCCGCUCGAGUGGGU
rnacentral:rRNA from 1 species